AGAUUUCAAGAUUGUGGACUUCACCAAAGCAUUCUUAUGUGGAAAUGACAUCUUGAAACCUUAUCUGUUCUCCCUGCCAACAGAAACUGCCUACUCAGAGUAAGCUUUUAUAGACAUAAUGGAGCUCACUUACAACAGCAUCUGUUCUGAAAUAUUCUGCACAGCUAAGAGGGUGAAAAAAUGCAAACUUUUAAAUUAAUAGUCAUUGAGGGAACAAUAAUGACAACAAUGACAACAGAGGGAAAAAUACAUCUCUAAUGAAAGGAACAGAAAGAAAUCUGGUAGACCAGAGACUCACUACCAUAAAAACAUCUACGUAGGACACCUCAAUAAAAGUCAGCAGCCUGGAACUACAUGAAAACAGCACAGUAAAGACCUAUAUGAGGCAUGUUGCCAAUUUAUCCAGAAAAAGAGAGAUAAACGUGUGACUGAAAAAAGUAUUUGUCGAAUGAGCUGCAGCUGCGUAUAACUAAUAUCUAAUUGCUCAUCUAGAACAUAUUAUCCAUCAGGCAGAACGAAGAAAUAAAAAGCCCAAAGAAUAAAUCAAAGGUAGUUUAAACAUUUCAAUUGGAAACCAAGAAUUGGCAUUUGAAUUCUUCUUCCAGAACUACUAUGAAGAUUUCUGUAAAAUUUGCAACUGGAAAUCCACCCUCACCUCCACAUUGUUGAGAAAGGAGUACCAGGACUGACUUCCAGGGUGAACUGAAUCUUGGCAUUCCUCUGGUCACUGCAAUUUGAUUCCAUUACAGGCAAAUGAUUUUAGAUGGGCCAAUCAGAAUCAACUUCAGAACUUUUCAAAAAGCUACCAGAAAAAGAAUGUCACCAUUUCCUCCUAGUCUUUAACUGGAAGAAUGAGAAGUUAAGGCUACUGCAGACACCUUGCAGACACAAGGAGGAGCCUAGAGCCACCUAAACCUAA